UGUGGACGUUAACUCUCGUCCAGCUGAGCGAGCUCCCGCGACACUGCUGUGCUACGUGCUGAAAGGAUCCUGAAGGUUUCAUGCCAGAGAUUUUGGGGACAGCAGAAGGCCACUGUUACAGAGCCUGGAGGACCCCACCCAGCACUGGCCUCUGCUCAUCAUGUCCCUGCGGGAUACGGCGACGAGCGGGAGGAGAGAGAUGGCAGGCGCUGGCGGAAAUCACAAGGGCAUUCUGGGAGCUGCAGGUGACCGCCAUGACGUCAACCGGUGAAAUACCUCGGCUGCCUUUACUCUGCCUUCUGCGCCAAUAAAGUGGCACGAAAGCCGACCGACCUGCAUGCCACAGAGAUGCAUCUCCAGAAAGUGACUCCAUGGAUGGCUCCUCCUGUACCGCAUCUUCCUCGAAUUUGAGCGUCCCCGAUUCCGUCAGCGCCUCGGACCC